rnacentral:rRNA from 1 species
AUUGAACGCUGGCGGCAUGCUUUACACAUGCAAGUCGAACGGUAACAGGCCGCAAGGUGCUGACGAGUGGCGAACGGGUGAGUAAUGCAUCGGAACGUGCCCAGUCGUGGGGGAUAACUACUAGAAAGAGUAGCUAAUACCGCAUACGAUCUAUGGAUGAAAGCGGGGGACCGUAAGGCCUCGCGCGAUUGGAGCGGCCGAUGUCGGAUUAGGUAGUUGGUGGGGUAAAGGCUCACCAAGCCAACGAUCUGUAGCUGGUCUGAGAGGACGACCAGCCACACUGGGACUGAGACACGGCCCAGACUCCUACGGGAGGCAGCAGUGGGGAAUUUUGGACAAUGGGCGCAAGCCUGAUCCAGCAAUGCCGCGUGCAGGAAGAAGGCCUUCGGGUUGUAAACUGCUUUUGUACGGAACGAAACGGCUCUGGUUAAUACCCGGGGCUAAUGACGGUACCGUAAGAAUAAGCACCGGCUAACUACGUG